CCAGCAGCCUGAUCCAGAGAGAUGGGAAGGAAAUGAUGGGAGAAUCCUCACAGAGCGCCCAGGAAGCCUUCUGGGAAUGGAAUUUGCCUCUCUACCUGGUUCUCCUGUAGCAUUCAAGGACUCAUUCAAUCAACUAAUAUUUAUGUGAUGAGAAGACCAAGACUUAGAAGGGUUCAGAGACUAGUCCAAGGCGAUUCAUCCAGCACCUACCUGUAAGGCUUGACUCACCUGCCUGCCUCUCUGAGU